AGAUGACUGCUGCAAGGACCAGGGAUAGUCAGUGCUUAGAGGAGCUGCCUAUGAGGAACAUCGAGGAGGUGUGAAACUCUGGAGAUAUGAAACCUUUGCAUAGAUCUCUUGAUAUAUUGAUAUAUAAAGACAACACCUGCCUGCUCCCAUGAAGUCUAGCAGUGAGGGGAAAAACAGCAAUGGAAAUCACCCCCAGACUCUUCAGAACUACACAAUGAAGUUAUUUCUGUUGCUGCCAUGGGGGAGCUGAAUUUUGGGACACAGCCACAGCCUUUGUGCUCUUGGGCAGCAGAGUGGGGACAACAAAAGAUCAAGCAAUUUCAGUGCCUGCCUUCGGCUCUCUGGCCUGCAGUGAGUGCCCUUAAUGGUUCAUCUGGCAGUGAUGUUUCAUCCACUUCUUCACAAUAGGUACCCCCACCCAGUGGCAAAGGUGUUUGUGAGCUUUGUGUUCACUUCUUGAAAUAAAUAAAAUUUUGUUUUCUUCAGCUUGUAGAGAAUUUGCCAGCAAGCAAAGCCUGGUAAAGAUUCUGCCCCCAUUGGAGUAAAAUUUCUCUUAGCAGAAA